UACGAAGGGUGCAAGCGUUACUCGGAAUUACUGGGCGUAAAGCGUGCGUAGGUGGUUCGUUAAGUCUGAUGUGAAAGCCCUGGGCUCAACCUGGGAAUGGCAUUGGAUACUGGCGGACUGGAGUGCGGUAGAGGAUGGCGGAAUUCCUGGUGUAGCAGUGAAAUGCGUAGAGAUCGGGAGGAACAUCUGUGGCGAAGGCGGCCAUCUGGACCAGCACUGACACUGAGGCACGAAAGCGUGGGGAGCAAACAGG
rnacentral:rRNA from 1 species